UGGGGAAUAUUGGACAAUGGGCGCAAGCCUGAUCCAGCCAUGCCGCGUGAGUGAUGAAGGCCCUAGGGUUGUAAAGCUCUUUCACCGGUGAAGAUAAUGACGGUACCGAAAAAGCAAGCCACGGCUAACUACGUGCCAGCAGCCGCGGUAAUACGUAGGUGGCAAGCGUUGUCCGGAAUUAUUGGGCGUAAAGCGCGCGCAGGCGGUCACUUAAGUCCAUCUUAGAAGUGCGGGGCUUAACCCCGUGAUGGGAUGGAAACUGGGAGACUGGAGUAUCGGAGAGGAAAGUGGAAUUCCUAGUGUAGCGGUGAAAUGCGUAGAUAUUAGGAAGAACACCGGUGGCGAAGGCGACUUUCUGGACGAAAACUGACGCUGAGGCGCGAAAGCGUGGGGAGCAAACAGG
rnacentral:rRNA from 1 species